rnacentral:rRNA from 1 species
UACGUAUGGAGCAAGCGUUAUCCGGAUUUACUGGGUGUAAAGGGAGCGCAGGCGGCUUUGCAAGUCUGAUGUGAAAGGCCGGGGCUCAACCCCGGGACUGCAUUGGAAACUGUAAAGCUAGAGUGCCGGAGAGGUAAGUGGAAUUCCUAGUGUAGCGGUGAAAUGCGUAGAUAUUAGGAGGAACACCAGUGGCGAAGGCGGCUUACUGGACUGUAACUGACGUUGAGGCUCGAAAGCGUGGGGAGCAAACAGG